AGAGUUUGAUCCUGGCUCAGAACGAACGCUGGCGGCAGGCUUAACACAUGCAAGUCGAACGCCCCGCAAGGGGAGUGGCAGACGGGUGAGUAACACGUGGGAACAUGCCCUUUGGUUCGGAACAACUCGGGGAAACUCGAGCUAAUACCGGAUAAGCCCUAUGGGGGAAAGAUUUAUCGCCGAAGGAUUGGCCCGCGUCUGAUUAGCUAGUUGGUGAGGUAAUGGCUCACCAAGGCGACGAUCAGUAGCUGGUCUGAGAGGAUGAUCAGCCACAUUGGGACUGAGACACGGCCCAAACUCCUACGGGAGGCAGCAGUGGGGAAUAUUGGACAAUGGGCGCAAGCCUGAUCCAGCCAUGCCGCGUGAGUGAUGAAGGCCUUAGGGUUGUAAAGCUCUUUUACCCGGGAAGAUAAUGACUGUACCGGGAGAAUAAGCCCCGGCUAACUUCGUGCCAGCAGCCGCGGUAAUACGAAGGGGGCUAGCGUUGUUCGGAUUUACUGGGCGUAAAGCGCACGUAGGCGGACUUUUAAGUCAGGGGUGAAAUCCCAGAGCUCAACUCUGGAACUGCCUUUGAUACUGGAAGUCUUGAGUAUGGAAGAGGUUGGUGGAACUGCGAGUGUAGAGGUGAAAUUCGUAGAUAUUCGCAAGAACACCAGUGGCGAAGGCGGCCNCUGGUCCAUUACUGACGCUGAGGUGCGAAAGCGUGGGGAGCAAACAGGAUUAGAUACCCUAGUAGUCC
rnacentral:rRNA from 1 species